GGGGACUUCAGAAGUGCGAAUUGUGUAAUCUGCUGAGAUACUGCUCAAGGUUCUCCAUAUUUGGAAUCUGGGAAUGGUUUCCUCAAGCUAGAAUUACUUAAGAAUGCUCCAGGGGUGACCUGACUGCUGUUGGGCUACAGAAACUGUGGUGAAUUGUAUCUGGACUUGCAUGUAAAUCACUGCUUGGAGGAUUUAUUACUGCCUUUGGAGGAGAUCGCAAGUGGUUAUGGGAAAGACCAAAGACCAUGAGGGUGAUUGAUAUCAGUGCAGCUGCGGAAACCCGUCAUGACAAAGGAGAAAACUGCUCAGUUAACUUUGAACAGUCUGGCCACUUACUUCUUUGUUUGAUGCACCUCAGAACAACAUGAGAAGACUAAAGCGAGGAUACAAGGAAAAGAUGUCCUUCUGCGAAGCAGGAAGACAGCCUUCUCCAGACACUGGACCUGCCAACAUCCUGACUCUGGACUUCUCAGCUUCCGCAACUGUCUCUGCUGGCAGCUACUCUUACACCCAGAUACAUGAACUGGGACCACGGAGGUUUGCAGUGGGAUAGUGAAGAAGUCUGUGUAGAUGUCCAGAUACCUUUCCAUGCUGAGUAACCAUCCAUCUUGGUGACGUUGGGCAAAUCCUAAAGUCCUGGUGAUAUUCAUGAGCUUUGAUGUUCUCAUCUGUAAAAUGAAAAAUAAAGAUUGAACAUGAUAAUCUAAGUA